UUUCUGGAUCCACGUUUGGC
rnacentral:miRNA from 1 species